UCUGGAGCACCUGCUAUUGGGCCUUUCUCUGCAGUGCCUGUGCAGGAAGAAGCGAGUUCAUUAUACUGAGAUGUGGCUGUGUUCUAUUGUACAGACUGAAGGUGACGGACUCUGUGGGUGAUCGUCCGAUGCUGCCAGCACUUACAGAGUGUGUGAGCAAGCCACACUUCCCUGGUUGUGUUACACCGUACUUAGGUCAGUUCACUUAGUUAAGAGAUUCCUGGAAGAGGUGCUGUGCUGGCAGGCGUGUCAACUGAAGGCCUGUUUAAGUGUCACUCAUUGCAUCACCGGGUAAAGUACAAGCGUAGUUUACAUAGGCUUGUCAAAGCCAAAUAAUGCACAGCGUUUUUAGCUUACCUCAUUCACCAAAUUGUGAGCGUACGCUGCUCUUGAAAAUGAAAUUUAAAUAUUUUUCCCAUUUAAAUUAUACUCUCUCUGAGGAUCAUUAGAGAGGAGGCUUCAUUUAUAGUGUGGAACGCUAACGGCUAUAUCCAGUUCUGCAGCUGUCUUUUUACGUGCUUUCCCGACGACAAGGUCACCCUCCUAGUUGCACUGAAAUGGGUGCCCAAACAACCUACCUUAUCAGCAGUGUUGCUGUAUUUAUUAAAAUGUUUUAUUGAAGAACUUUCUACACUUAAGAACCAGGUGUCAACCCUUUGAAAGGCCAUUCAAGUCCACGUGAAGAACAGUGGGUGACUUUAAUACUGAGUCCUUGUGGAAGUUCCUAUGAAGUUGGGGUUUAUUUUGUAGACAUGCACACCCCACCUUCUGACUCCCUCACAUGGGCACAUUCAGAACUCACACACUGAAGAAAAACCCUACCUUCACCUCCCUAAAGGAGGCUGAGCUGAGCCAAUGACACUGUUUGCAUCUGCCAGAGAGACAUAAAAAGUGGAGUGAGUGCUUGCCCUAUGGCCAUGCACUAACGUUUAUAGACUCUUGGGGAAUUUCUAACACAGCUGACCGUAACUAGAAUUUACUUAGUAAUAAUAGGUUUAACACAGCUUUCAAGGGCUCCUUUUUUUCCUUUGAACUAGACAUUUGAAAUAAUUAUAAAUAGAAAUAUAUCUCAAAAUAAACAACUAUGCUUCGAAGAAAUAAAUCCUUUCUUACCUUGAUGUAAACCAGGCUUGACCUAUGACUUUUGUGUGAACACAUUUUCUGAAGAUUGGUUAGAGCUGCCUUAACUCUUGGUUGCACACUGACUCUGCAUGGACCAUUGAUUAAAUUUCAGGAGCUGGAAGCGGUAAUAUCUGAGCAGCCGAGUUUUAUUUUUAUAGUCUAUUUUGUCAAUCCCAGGCUUUACUCUAGCUCAAGCCGACUUGGAACUCCUGUGUACCCAGCCAGGCUGCACUCACACUUGGCACAGUCCUCCGGUGUCAGCCCCUCCGUGCUGGGAUGACAAGCAGGCGAAGCCGUGCGAACAUCACUGCACAUUCCUGGUGGCAUUUCCCUUCGUGGCUGUGCCAUGGCUGACAGGUCACUCCAAACCAAAGCCCUUGUAACACAUGACAUCUAUGCAACUGGCAAGAGUUUUAGUAGCCAAGUGGCCUUUUUUUUUAAUCCUCAUCGAUUUUAUUUUUUAUAAUUACUUAAUUUAUCAUUUUCCCUAAUAAAAGAUAUAUAUGUGUA
rnacentral:lncRNA from 1 species